UACGGAGGGUGCAAGCGUUGCUCGGAAUUAUUGGGCGUAAAGCGUGCGCAGGCGGUUCGUGAUGUCUGAUGUGAAAGCCCCGGGCUCAACCUGGGAAUUGCAUUGGAAACUAGCGGGCUGGAGUGUGGCAGAGGGGGGUGGAAUUCCACGUGUAGCAGUGAAAUGCGUAGAGAUGUGGAGGAACACCGAUGGCGAAGGCAGCCCCCUGGGCUAACACUGACGCUCAUGCACGAAAGCGUGGGGAGCAAACAGG
rnacentral:rRNA from 1 species